rnacentral:ncRNA from 1 species
UGCAAACAGGGGAGGAAGCGGUGUAGCAAAUCUCAUGAGCCUACGAACAGAAACUUGAUACAAGGCUAAAUGGUGAAUAAUGUUGCUGAACAGACCGAAGUCCGAAAGGUAAACGUAAAACCAAAGCAGUAAAUCAAGAGGUUGUGGAUGGAAAGAUUA